UACGUAGGGCGCAAGCGUUGUCCGGAAUUAUUGGGCGUAAAGAGCUCGUAGGCGGUUUGUCGCGUCUGCUGUGAAAGCCCGGGGCUCAACCCCGGGUGUGCAGUGGGUACGGGCAGGCUGGAGUGCAGUAGGGGAGACUGGAAUUCCUGGUGUAGCGGUGAAAUGCGCAGAUAUCAGGAGGAACACCGAUGGCGAAGGCAGGUCUCUGGGCUGUUACUGACGCUGAGGAGCGAAAGCAUGGGGAGCGAAC
rnacentral:rRNA from 1 species